AUUGAACGCUGGCGGCAGGCCUAACACAUGCAAUUCGAACCAGCGGCGGACGGGUGUUUAAUGUCUGUGCACCUGCCUGUUGGAUGGGUACAACUACUGGAAACGGCUGCUCAUUACGCACACCACCAGCUGUCUCCACAUGGGAUUAGCUUGUUGGUGGGGCAACGGCGCACCAAGGCGCCGAUCCCUAUCUGGUAUGAGAGGAUGACCAGCCACACUGGAACUGAGACACGGUCCAGACUCCUACGGGAGGCAGCAGUGGGGAAUAUUGCACAAUGGGCGCAAGCCUGAUGCAGCCAUGCCGCGUGUGUGAAGAAGGCCUUCGGGUUGUAAAGUACUUUCAGCGGGGAGGCGUUACCCGCAGAAGAAGCACCGGCUAACUCCGGGCCAGCAGCCGCGGUAAUAC
rnacentral:rRNA from 1 species